rfam:Penicillium brasilianum genome assembly, contig: SCAF2
GCACCUAUGGCCAAGUGGUACGGCGUUUCUCUCCUAACUGCCUAUUUCGUGCUAGCUCGCAAUAGGAUCAUCGGAAAAGAAAAGAUCCUGGGUUCGAUCCCCAGUAGGUGUG